UACGGAGGGUGCAAGCGUUAUCCGGAUUUACUGGGCUUAAAGGGUGCGUAGGCGGGCAGGUAAGUCAGUGGUGAAAUCUUCGAGCUUAACUCGGAAACUGCCUUUGAUACUAUCUGUCUUGAAUAUUGUGGAGGUAAGCGGAAUAUGUCAUGUAGCGGUGAAAUGCUUAGAUAUGACAUAGAACACCUAUUGCGAAGGCAGCUUACUACGCAUAUAUUGACGCUGAGGCACGAAAGCGUGGGGAUCAAACAGG
rnacentral:rRNA from 1 species